rnacentral:pre_miRNA from 1 species
AUCAUCUGAGGGAUCUUGUUAUAAUGCACAUUUUGAUCAGUAGGUCUGAAUUACAGCCAGAGAUUCUGCAUUUCUAACAAGUUGCCAGGAGCUGCCAAU